rnacentral:lncRNA from 1 species
UUUUUGCUCUUUUAAAUGUCUUAGUUCUAAAACUAACAAAAGGAGAAAAAUAUACUAGGACACUUGUUAGUAAUACUCUGUAACAGGUUGGCAAAUGAUUACCCGCAAGCCAAAUCAGACAUGCAGCCUGUUUUUGGUAGUUUUAUUGGAAUACAGCCACAUUCAUUAGUUUAAGUAUUAUCUGGCUGCUUUCAUACUACCUUGCCAAAUUAUAUAGGAAGUUAGGGGAGGAAAGCCUGGGUGGCUCAGUGGUUGAGCGUCUCUGCCUUUGGCUCAGGGCAUGAUCACAGGGUCCUGGGAUCGAAUCCCACAUCAGGCUCUCCACAGGGAGCCUGCUUCUUUCUCUGUGUCUCUACCUCUCUCUGUGUCUCUCAUGAAUACAUAAAUAAAAUCUUAAAAAGAAAAAGUUAGGUGAGAAGUCUAGUUUAGAUCCUGUUAUUAUUAACUAAUAUGAUCAACGGCAAGUCAUAAAUUUGCUAUCAUUUAUAAAAUGCACAAAUGAAUAGCCGAUCUCAGAUAUUUUCUAUCUCUAAAAGUAUGUAAGAUUUAAGUGAUUUAGGAACCAUAUGCUAAAUAUGUUUGUCUUUCAAAUUUUCAAUCUUGCCCUUAUCCUGUCCAAACCUAUUCCCCAUUAUUCAGUAAUUAUUAUCCCAGACUAGGAAGAUACUUUAUUUACCAAUUACAUCUCUUGUUUUUGUUUCUUAUUGUUUCUCCACCACCAAAAUAUCUCUUUUACUCCUUUAGCAAAAAACCCUCUAUUUCAGGCCUUCCAGGAAUCUUCUCUGGUGACUCUAGUUCAUACUAAUGAAAACCACUGGGUUUUUUGAAAAGAAAAGUAGAGUGGUCAAAGUUUUGUUUACAGUAGUCUAGAAAUGGUUGGAAAAAGCACAGACCAGAUUCAUGGAGACAAGUUAGAGAAUAAAUUUGGCUAGCAGGCCUCAGGAAGUCCUGGACCAGAGUCCAGAAGGAUGAAUGGACAUGAGUCAGCAACAUUUUAUAAACUGAAAUUAUCAUGACAAUGGUUAAGGAAAAAGGAACAAGAUUAAGAAUAAAGAUGAAUUCAAUUUGACACAAGCUAAUUUUAUGCUAGUGAAAAAAAUACUAUAGUAGUAAGGUGUUUCAGAAGUAGUUGGAAACAUCACAGUGAAAACUAGUAUGAGAGGUCACACAAGAUAAAGAGAUAUAGAGUAAAAGAGUCAUAAAUUUGAGAAGUGCAAAGUCCCUUAAGCUGCAUUUCCCCUGACCACUGCUUUGAGGUAAGUACUUGCCUCCAAUUCAAAGAUCAGCUGACAGUCAAAGAAUUGUGACUCCCAAAUAACUAGCUGAAACUUUCUAGAAAAGGAACCAGAAUUUAGUUUUCUACUGUCCAUUUAGAAAUGUUUGAAGCUCCAAGAUUCAGAGCAGAGGUUACUAAUUAAAAUUCCACAGACAUGUUUGUUUGAACUGUAAUUGUUUGUUUUUUUAAGAUUUUAUUUUUAAGUAAGCUCUACAUCCAAUGUGGGCUUGAACUCACAAUCCCAAGAUCAAGAGUGACACAUUCCACUGACUGAGCUAGCCAGGCACUAUGUUUUUAAAAAGAAAAGAAGGAUGGAUGGAUGGAUCAGCAUCCAACGAAUCAGGCAGGAAGAGCAGUUUGGGAGAUUUACUUCUUUAAUUUCCAUCAACCUUUCCUUCACGGCACUCCUAACAAUAUAUGCUCAAAUUACAAAAUGUGCAUUUGCUGUGAAAAUACAGCUUUAAGGCAAUCCCUAGGACCACUUCUUAUGGUAGUAGUAUAAGUAGUGUAUAUUAUAAUGUAGACUAAACACCCAAAGGCUGUGCAGUGUAUAAACUACACAGAUCCCCUUCCAACCAGAAUAAUAUACCAAACCCCUCUUAUCUGGGUAUUUCCAAACUUCAAAUGACCGCUAACACUCAUAAUCUGGGAUAUUUCAAAGAAAAAUCUAGACUUCCCAUAUAUCUCUUGAUUAAUUAAGACAAUCUGAUUACAGUAACUUUCUUUUUCCCCCAUAUGAAAGUAAGCUGGAGCCACAGAAUGGUGUUCCCUUUGGACAGGGAUUUGAUUAGUUAUUACUUGUGCCCCUACUUGGCCCAUUCAUUCAUUCACAUCACCUACAAGCUUCUUUAGGGAAAUCUCCCUAAAACAAAUAGAAACAGAGGAUUAAGAGCUUGGGUUUAGAAAAUACUUUGAGCCAUGAAAAGAAAUCAGCAAAGGGACCAAGAAAGAAGUAUAUGAUAAAAGUACAGUAAUACUACUGAAAUCAAGGGAGACAAUUUCAGUGAGCAUAAGUAGUCACAAGAAUUUAGCGAGAAGGAGGUUAAUGACUUUGAGAGAAGAUUCAGUAAUGUGUUGAAUCCAUUCCACAGUGGAUGAAUUCAAGAACAGCUAGAGAUAGGGAAAAUGGUAAUAACAACAAAAAAGAGAUGGAUAUUAGAUGUACUAUAUGUACAUAUGUAUCACAUGUAAUAUAUAUGUAAUAUAUUAUAUGUAAUAUUAUAUGUACUAUAUAUGUAUAUGUAAUAUAUGUAUAUAUUUACAUAUAUGUAAUAUAUGUAUAUAUUUACAUAUAUGUAAUAUAUGUAAAUAGGCUUAUAAGAAAAUUAUUUUUUAAAUACAUAUAUUUAUAUAUAUUUGAAUGAACAAUAGUUAAGAAGAGGAAAUUGGGGAAAGUCUCAAGAAGAUAGAAACAAUGAAGUUUCAGCAGAGUGAAUGGCUUUAGGGAGUAAUUUUUUACAAUUAGAUAAUAAUUAUCUACUUCAAUAUAUUUUUGGUUAUAAAAAAAUAUGAAUAGAUUAUCUUUAGAGCAAAUAAUGAUAAAAUAAAAAGAAUAACAUAUUGCCUAAAUUCUGAAUUUGAUACAAAGAUGAUGAAGAGAAAUGGAAAUCAGGCAAGGCAUUUCUCAAUUUUCUUUUCAUUACUGGUAAUCUAAGAUAGUAAUCAAGGAAGGCAGGACAUAACAACAUACCAAUUGGAAAUCAAGAUUUCUCUUAAUGAACUUAUAUUAUCUAUUCUUAUAAAACUGACUACAUAUACAAAUUGUAUCAGGAAAAAUUCUACACUAAAUAUUAGUGUUUCUCCUAGUUUAAUGAGAUACUGAUUUAUCAUUAUGCUCCAGUAAGUACUGCUUUAUACCUAUCUAUAUGAUGUAGAUAAUUUAAGUUCUACCAAAGACAUUUAAAUUUUUUCUUUUAAAAACAUCUAGUUGAAAAUACUCUGCUCAGAAAUUCGAUCAAUGCACAAUUAUUCUUGUGGAAUUACUAGUUUCUUAGCAUUUUUAUUGAGUGCCCUAAUAAAUAAUUCAAGUAAACAAAACGAGUUUCUACUUUAUAGAUACUUAUGAGCAUUCUCACUGCCUAAUAACUGUUUAAUUCAAAAGAAACAUUAUUUUAUGACUUCCCAAGUUGAAUAAAAAAAGAAAAUUUAUACCAGAAAGUAGGAAAAAUAAAAAUACAUUUGCUAGUUCUUAAUAAAAGGAAAAAGAGACUGUUCUAAAACCAAAAAUAAUGGAGAAAAGAUGGAACGGCAGUUGUCUUAUUCCAGAAAUUAUAUAUAUUUUGAUUUUAAUAUAGUUCAUUCAAUCUUUUUCUAAUAAGCCAUAGGAAAAAUACUCACAGAUGACUGAAUUCUUAUACUUCAGGGAAUUUGCCAUUAAGGUCUCUGUAAAUAUCUAGAACCAAUGUUUGCUUUUUUUUUUUAAGUCUGUUAUAGCAUAAAACUAUGAGGUUUGACCACACAUUCAAGGCAUUAUGUUAAAACACUAGACAAAAUAAACAAGAUACCUACCCUUUUAUAUGUAUGAGUACAUAUAAUCAAUUCUUAGUGGCUUAGAUAGGUUCAAGAUGAAGUUCACAGUGAGAGGAUCUUUUUGGUACUGUAUUAAAGGGGGACACAUGAGUGGCUUAGAGGUUGAACGUCUGCCUUCGGCUCAGGGCAUGAUCCC